rnacentral:misc_RNA from 1 species
UUCAUAACGUAAGUCAUUCUAGCAUUUCCCACAUUCAUAUCAAUAUGAAUGUGGGAAAUGCUAGAAUGACUUACAUUAUG